GUAGGGUCCGAGCGUUGUCCGGAAUUAUUGGGCGUAAAGGGCUUGUAGGCGGUCCGUCGCGUCAGAAGUGAAAACUCAGGGCUUAACCCUGAGCCUGCUUUUGAUACGGGCGGACUAGAGGGAUGCAGGGGAGAACGGAAUUCCUGGUGGAGCGGUGGAAUGCGCAGAUAUCAGGAGGAACACCGGUGGCGAAGGCGGUUCUCUGGGCAUUACCUGACGCUGAGAAGCGAAAGCGUGGGGAGCAAACAGGGCUUAGAUACCCUGGUAGUCCACGCCGUAAACGGUGGGCACUAGGUGUGGGGGACAUUCCCACGUUCUCCGUGCCCGAAGCUAACGCAUUAAGUGCCCCGCCUGGGGAGUACGGCCGCAAGGCUA
rnacentral:rRNA from 1 species